GUUGCGAUUAAGAAAGGCAUAUGUUAACUUUUCGUCAACAAUAAUAUCAGCGCUAGUUAAAUCCUGAUUAGGCACAUCAGAAGAGCUACCUGAAAUGGCAUAGUCGUGCUCCUUGUAUAUCUUAUGAAAUACGCUUAAAGAGUUUCGUGGCACGCUUGAGUGUUUUUUAAUGUUAUUCCAAUAUCAGAACGUCGUCUUGAUGGUAAACAUGUCCGAUGUACAAGAUGCAUUAAGUCUGGUUGCUCUCUUCGAAAAUAAAGAUGUUCAAACUUCAUAUUCUUCAUUGGGUCACAUUUUCCAUUACUUGGUAUUUUACGAAAACCAUACAAAUUCAGUUGCCUAACAAAUGAUGUAAAAUUAUUGGUUUUAAACAUUUCUUCUUCGUUUUCAAGAAUACUUUGCCUAAAAGACUCAAUAUCAGUGACAACAAUAUAACAGCCAUCUUCAGACCAAUGUAUAGCGUGUCGAUACUUUGGGUUGUUAAGAAGAAAACGAAGUUUGGAAACAAAAGGACUAAGUGGUUUAUUUUUCUUGGAAAAAUGCCGCAAGUGAAACGACAACAGAAUAAAAACGAGAACCAUAUUUUGGAAUAUUAUUUCGAAAUUCGAAACUGUCACGGUUCGAACGCAUAAUUAUUUUGAUAGUUUGAUUGAUCUUGCGUUUCAUAUAUGCAAACAGUAUGUUCUUUGUAUAAAAAAGGAAUUGAUUCGAAUAAUUUAGUAGUAAAAAAGAUGCUAACCUUGAUUUUUUAUGCAGUUAACAUUCUAUAAGACUAAACGACUUGCAACUUUGGAUAUUUAGUCAAAGUUCUUUAGAUUAAAAACAAUGUUUUUUAAAGUAUGAACAUAGAAAAAUAAAAAUGAAGUACAUUCUUACCAUUUCAGAAACUAUGGCAUAAUCAAACAAAAAAAUUCACGAAAAACUUACGCCAAAAAUGGGUUAACACCAGGUUUUCUUUGAGUUUACUUAUAUAUAUACCUUAUAAAUAUACUUACUUAUACCUUAAAAACAUAAUUACUUAUAAAUAUACACCUUUUUCUGACUCAGUAUAUAUAUUCUGUUAAUAAUAAAAGUAAAGUAUUUAUCGUUUAGUGUGCGAACGGGAGUAUUUUAUAUAUGUCAGCUCUGUGAAUUGAUCAUGUUUUGUAUCAUGGCUAAAGCUGUGAACACCUUGCCGCACAGUUACCAGGGAAUUUUGCUGCACAGUUACAAUGGAAUCUCCGAGAACAUCUUCUUGACAUAUAAUACAAUAACUCUAUACAUACAUUCUCCAUUCUAAAAGUAUAUUUAAACAAAAAUUAUUCCCAAAAAUGACAGUAUACAAACAAUUUCAGCAAUAUUUAACUUUUUGAUAUUAAAAAUAUAAUCUCUUUAAAAAUUACUUUUCUUUGAACACUAAAAUACUUCAUUGCAAAGCAAUCAAAUUUUAACGAAUCGUGAGAUUUCGCAAUAAAAAGAUUUCCCAAGAAUAUUCAAAAAAUUAAAUUUUUAAGUGCGCCCAGAAAAUCUAACAAUCUAAUCACAGAGCACCGCGAAAGUGCAUUUAACCAUUAAAUCUUAAAAGAAUGUUAUUAUCACAACCCACAAUAACAAAGUUUUUUUAUUUUCUUAAUAACAAAGUAUAUUACUUUUUUAAUAUAA